UGGGGAAUUUUGGACAAUGGGCGAAAGCCUGAUCCAGCAAUGCCGCGUGUGUGAAGAAGGCCUUCGGGUUGUAAAGCACUUUUGUCCGGAAAGAAAUCCUUGGCUCUAAUACAGUCGGGGGAUGACGGUACCGGAAGAAUAAGCACCGGCUAACUACGUGCCAGCAGCCGCGGUAAUACGUAGGGUGCAAGCGUUAAUCGGAAUUACUGGGCGUAAGCGUGCGCAGGCGGUUUGCUAAGACCGAUGUGAAAUCCCCGGGCUCAACCUGGGAACUGCAUUGGUGACUGGCAGGCUAGAGUAUGGCAGAGGGGGGUUAGAAUUCCACGUGUAGCAGUGAAAUGCGUAGAGAUGUGGAGGAAUACCGAUGGCGAAGGCAGCCCCCUGGGCCAAUACUGACGCUCAUGCACGAAAGCGUGGGGGAGCAAACAGGAUUAGAUACCCUGGUAGUCCACGCCCUAAACGAUGUCAACUAGUUGUUGGGGAUUCAUUUCCUUAGUAACGUAGCUAACGCGUGAAGUUGACCGCCUGGGGAGUACGGUCGCAA
rnacentral:rRNA from 1 species